UGAUUAAUUUUAUAAUCCAGUCUGGUAGUUUUAAGAAGCGAGUUCUUGCAUCCGCCCUAUUCGAAUCGGCGGGGCGGUGGAGCGCCAGCGAGCCCAAGGUCUCCCAGGCGAGCAUGGCAGGACUGGAGGGCUCCCGGCAGGGCGCCUCGGCGUCCAUCGGGACCCCGACGGAGGUGCCGGAGAUCUUUCGGCUACAACGCCGGGCAGGUGGGGCUCGUUAGCCGUGGUAGGCAAUCUGCCUAGGAGAGCAAACUCCGAACAACAAACCCGGGCAGGUGAGGUUCGUUAGCCGUGGUAGGCAAUUCACCUAGGAGAGCAAACUCCGAACAACAAACCCGGGCAGGUUGGGCUCGUGAGCCGUCAUAGGUAAUACACCUAGGAGAGCAAACUCCGAACAAUAAACCCGGGCAGGUGGAGCUCGUCAGCCGUGGUAGGCAGUCUGCCUAGGAGAGCAAACUCCGAACAAUAAACCCGGGCAGGUGGAGCUCGUCAGCCGUGGUAGGCAGUCUGCCUAGGAGAGCAAACUCCGAACAAUAAACCGGGGCUUGUGGUGCUCGUUAGAUGUCGUAGACAAUCCACGUGAUGGGAACACCAAAGAAAAGGAACAUAAAAAGGAACACCAGAAAAAGGAAAAUAUAGUAAUAAAACAUCAAGAAAAUAAAAUAAAAAACACAGAUCAUCCACCUUCAGGCCCUAACAUCUCCAAAAUUAUGGGUGAGUCUUUUCUGGGGAGAAAGAGGCUCAUCCAGACCAAAGAACAUCAAAAAGGGAUGAUAUAGAAAGGAACACCAAAAAAAUGGGAAAAAGAGAAAAAAACUUCGCAAAAGAAAAGUAACAACAAUAACAGAACAGCGUCAAGAAAAAUAACAUACGAAGAAACAUCAUCCACCAUUCGGCCCCAAACUAACAUCACCAAAAUUAUGGGUGAGUCUUUUCUGGGGAGAAAGAGGCUCACCCAGACCAAAGAACAUCAAAGAGGGAUGAUAUAGAAAAGAACACCAAAAAAUAAGGGAAAAAAGAGCAAAAAAACAUCGCAAAAGAAAAGUAACAACAAUAACAGAACAACAUCAAGAAAAGUAACAUACAAAGAAACAUCAUCCACCAUUCGGCCCCAAACUAACAUCACCAAAAUUAUGGGUGGGUCUCUUCUGGGAGGAAAGCGGCUCACCCAGACCAACGAAGAACAUCAACAAGAGGAUGAUAUGAAAAAAAAAACAUAAAAAAACACGAAGAAAAGAAAUAAGAAGAAAAAGAACAGAAAAAAACAUCGGAAAAGAAAAACAAGAAGAAAAACACAUCAAGAGAAGAAAAAUAUAAGAAACAUCAUCCACCUUUCGGCCCCUAACUAACAUCACCAAAAUUAUGGGUGGGUCUCUUCUGGGAGGAAAGCGGCUCACCCAGACCAAUGAACAUCAACAAGAGGAUGAUAUGAAAUAAAAGAACAUCAAAAAAGAAAAACAACAGCAAGAAAACAAAGAAAAAGAUAAAGAAAAGAAAAGGAAAAAGAAACAAAAAGAAAAAGAAAAACACCAAAAUAAAAUAAAACAAAAACAAAAAAAUAAUCCAAAUAAAUAAACAAAUAAA